UACGCAGACAGUUUCCUUUAAAGCUAGCAUUUGCCUGCACAAUCCACAAAACCCAGGGUCUUACAACACAGACAGCUGUAGUUUCAAUGAAGAACAUUUUUGAACCAGGUAUGGCUUAUGUUGCUCUCAGCAGGGUGACGUCUCUCAGUGGACUCUAUUUGCAGGACUUGGAUGAGAAAAAGAUUUAUGCCAAUCCCGAGGUAACUGCAGCGCUCCAAACCAUGAGACAAGCCAGCGUUGAGGAAAUGAUGCCUCUUCUUCAGGUCAGAGAAACAGCCAGCAGACUUGACACUCUUACACUGAUCCAUCACAAUACGGAGGGUUUACCAUCUCACAUCAGUGACAUCAAGAGUCAUCAUGAAAUGUGCUUAGCAGAUGUUUUGUGUCUCACAGAGUCUCACCUCCAAGGCUCCUUUGUUGCAGACAGUCUUCAUUUGGACGGCUACACCAUGUUCAAACGCAACAGACAUGUGUCCUACACAAACUUUCCUCACAUGGCCAGCAGAAGUGGUGGGGGAGUUGUUGUGUAUUUGAGGAAUCAUUUUCAGGUUCAGACCUCCAGACUACAGUUUGG
ensembl:lncRNA